AUGGCGAAAUUGAAAAGACAGUCUUACAAAGUUGGACUUGGUGUUGCAAGUGUUGUGUUUGCAGGUCGUUAUGCUUUCCACCUUUGGAAACCAUUGGAGCAGGCAAUUACAGACACAGCAAAUUGGAUUUCAACUUCAAGUCUUUCAUCGUACUAUAAAGAAGGAUUUGAACAGAAAAUGAGUAGGCGAGACGCUAGUCUUAUUUUAGGUGUAAGUCCAUCUGCUGGCAAGGCCAAAAUCGGAACAGCCAAUAGAAGAAUGGUGAUUUUGAAUCACCCUGAUAAAGGUGGAUCACCUUAUUUAGCAACAGAAAUAGAUGAAGCAAAAGACUUGUUAGAAUCCAAAAAACUGAAACCCAAAGCCUUGGGUCGUAAGAGACUCAGUAGAAACAUUGUGCAACAGCUUUCAUAUCUAAUUGCUCUGUACAGUUUCCUAACCCUCCAUUCACUGUUGCUACUUAUUGUCAUAAUUAAGAAUUUAAGACUCUUUAAAAGCAAAGUGAAAUAUUUUACAGUUAAAUAA